rnacentral:tRNA from 1 species
GGAGAGGUGGCUGAGUGGUCGAAAGCACCGGUUUCGAAAACCGGCAUCCAGGAAACUGGAUCGAGAGUUCGAAUCUCUCCCUCUCCG